UCGGGUGUGGUGCAAUGGUAGCACACAGGUCUCUCACACCUGAAAUCCGGGUUCAAUUCCCGGCAUCCGAG